GUCCUAGCAGCUGCCAACUUGGGCCUAGAGCACCCUGACGACAACCCCCGAACCACAGCCCGAUGACAUCUCACCUGGGAAUCCCGAUAUUGACCAUCCAUGGCAGGGGAACCGGAGGCACAGGUGACAGGCGCACAUGGAGCACGGGACUGGCAACAACCCAACUUUUCACAGGACUUGCAGGUCGGACACGAGAAGAGGCAGGAAUGAGUCCGUAAGAUCCAGCAGGACUGUCUACAUGUCAUCUGCGGCACACAGAGAAUGGCGCCUGGGGGGCUGCGUGGCCUUGAGAGACUCCAGUGGCACAUUUUAGCUUCAGUGCAACCUAUUAGAAUGCUCCCUUAUAUUAAUUUA